rnacentral:rRNA from 1 species
GCUCUUUGGGUGGCGAGUGGCGGACGGGUGAGUAAUGUCUGGGAAACUGCCCGAUGGAGGGGGAUAACUACUGGAAACGGUAGCUAAUACCGCAUAACGUCGCAAGACCAAAGUGGGGGACCUUCGGGCCUCACACCAUCGGAUGUGCCCAGAUGGGAUUAGCUAGUAGGUGGGGUAAUGGCUCACCUAGGCGACGAUCCCUAGCUGGUCUGAGAGGAUGACCAGCCACACUGGAACUGAGACACGGUCCAGACUCCUACGGGAGGCAGCAGUGGGGAAUAUUGCACAAUGGGCGCAAGCCUGAUGCAGCCAUGCCGCGUGUAUGAAGAAGGCCUUCGGGUUGUAAAGUACUUUCAGCGGGGAGGAAGGCGGUGAGGUUAAUAACCUCGCCGAUUGACGUUACCCGCAGAAGAAGCACCGGCUAACUCCGUGCCAGCAGCCGCGGUAAUACGGAGGGUGCAAGCGUUAAUCGGAAUUACUGGGCGUAAAGCGCACGCAGGCGGUCUGUUAAGUCAGAUGUGAAAUCCCCGGGCUUAACCUGGGAACUGCAUUUGAAACUGGCAGGCUUGAGUCUCGUAGAGGGGGGUAGAAUUCCAGGUG